UACGGAGGGGGCUAGCGUUGUUCGGAAUUACUGGGCGUAAAGCGCACGUAGGUGGCGCCAUAAGUCAGGUGUGAAAUCUCGGGGCUCAACCCCGAAACUGCAUUUGAUACUGUGGUGCUCGAGUACUGGAGAGGAGAUUGGAAUUUACGGUGUAGCAGUGAAAUGCGUAGAUAUCGUAAGGAAGACCAGUGGCGAAGGCGAAUCUCUGGAUAGUUACUGACACUGAGGCACGAAGGCCAGGGGAGCAAACGGG
rnacentral:rRNA from 1 species